ensembl:lncRNA
GGGAUCCCUCUCUUGUGGAGUUCUUUCUGCAAGCCUAGAUCUUUGGAGAUGAACCACUAGCAGGACUGUGUGCCGGAGUUGAGUGGAAGAGGAGUAAGACACAUUUGAGCGCUUGUCUCAGCUCCGACAUGUUACCUAAUUCUCCAAAAGCAGAGCUGGCACUACUGCCUUCCAGCUGAAAAUCUCAGAUUCCAGUUUAUCAGGAUGCUAAUGCAAUAAGAUAAUUGGCCACCCACAACUGCAGUCCUAUUUAUCGUCUUCCCUCCUACCAUGUUGCAUCAAAGAAAUGGGACAGCAGGAUGCAUAAUUAUAGCUACGCUCAACAUGGCAGCCUCUCUGCUACCAGUGAGAGCCAGAAACACAUGGGAGAGCAUGUCCUGCCCAAGCAACAGGCUCAGUCUGCUGUGCAUUGCGUGAGAUGGAGAAUACAGGACCCCUCUAGCUGCUCUGAUGGGGUCUGCAUCAGAACUUGAUCUUCCCAUGUUGUUACACUCAAUGCAGCAUCAUUAAAGAGGGAGAGAAAUAGACUCAUAUGGGUGAAGGAAUGUUUCAAAGCACAUCUGUGUAAGUGGCUGUCUGAAUGACCUGUCUGUCUGAGAGAAGUGGAGAUUUCUGUUUCUAAUUGUUCCUUAUUCCCCUGUAAAGAAAGUCUGAGGCACCUUUGUCCCUUCAUUUAGUAGAGUUAGUCACCAUAGUUACCAACAAAGCACAGGCUAAAUUCCAUGGAAUUGGUGAAACUGAAUUGCAUAGUAUAGCAAACAAAGAAAUGCCUUGGAUUCUGGAAGCUUUACAGUUUCCACAUAUUUGUACAGGAGAAAGAAUUCUUUAAUGUUGAAAUUAGUAGUUAAGACCUUCAAUUUAAUUUUGACUGAAUCUAUUCUUCUGAGUGCCUAGCAGUCCUGCUUAUGUGCAACAAAUGGUAGUGAUAGGUGCAGCACCUGGUCAGUGCAGCUGGCUAUUUCCAGCUUGGCAGUGAACUGUUGUACUGCCUCAUACACAAAGUACAGCCUGUGAGACUCCAGUAAGGCAGGUGCCUUCCCUUCCUGACUCCGGAUCUGCAUCAUCUGCACAUUGCCUACCAAUUAGCUGUCUUGCACACCUGGCAGUAUUAAAAUCGGAGAUUAAUUUAAGAUUAAAAUAGCAUCAAGCCUAUUCAAAUACAUGUAUAUUUGUGUGUGCAUGCAUCUGUGUGUUAGUGUAUAUAUAUGGGUACAUGAUGAUGGU